rnacentral:rRNA from 1 species
UGGGGAAUAUUGCACAAUGGGGGAAACCCUGAUGCAGCGACGCCGCGUGAGUGAAGAAGUAUUUCGGUAUGUAAAGCUCUAUCAGCAGGGAAGAAGAUGACGGUACCUGACUAAGAAGCCCCGGCUAACUACGUGCCAGCAGCCGCGGUAAUACGUAGGGGGCAAGCGUUAUCCGGAUUUACUGGGUGUAAAGGGAGCGUAGACGGCAGAGCAAGUCUGAAGUGAAAGCCCGCGGCUCAACUGCGGGACUGCUUUGGAAACUGUUAAGCUAGAGUGCUGGAGAGGUAAGCGGAAUUCCUAGUGUAGCGGUGAAAUGCGUAGAUAUUAGGAAGAACACCAGUGGCGAAGGCGGCUUACUGGACAGUAACUGACGUUGAGGCUCGAAAGCGUGGGGAGCAAACA